ACCUUUUUAUUUGCUGAACAAAAUGUUACUACCAUACAGGAAUGCAACAUAACAGGGCAUUGCAUCACAGAAAGUUAUAUCAUCCAGUGUAAAUGAACGCCAUUGCUAAAUCAUGACAACAUUUAACAAGUUACCUGUUACUGCAGCAGCAGCAGCAGCAGCAGCAGCAGCAGCAGCAGCAGCAGCAGCAGCAGUGCCAGAUACAUCAUCUGUAACACAUCACAUUUAUUGUCAUAAAAAACUAUAAUCUAAAGUCAAAUCUAACCUGGAGGUUAGGGUUAAUCUGCAUGUUUAAAAUGAAGGUAAAUUGUGUUUUUAUUGAGAAAAAAAAACUACUCAAAGUUCAAACCCGUCCAGCGCUCUCUGACCAUCCAAUCACAGGACACGAAAGCGAUGACACUAUGGUACACCAGCAAGGUGGCCCCAGUCUCACCACUGCAGAAACAAAUGGAACAAAGCAACAAGUUACAGCACUAUAUUUGUGAUGGUCUGGAGGCAGAUUUCUUGGCCCCUAGCAACACAUGAUGGCUAAUGCAUGAUUGGAUAAAUGCUCCAACAUUAAGCUGUCAUGUCAUCAUAUGGCGUGCAGAAAGACAUUUCUACAUUUUGAACAAAGAGUCUAAGAAAGAAUAAGUUAUAAGUGGGAAACUCAAAAUAUUGUAUUUAUAUAUAUUUUUAUAAUCUUGAAAUCUUGAAAAAUAGCAUGUGAAAGAUGAUUGGUUCUUAACUGGCCAAUCAUUGGAUGAGAAUGACUAGACCAGAGUUGUCUACAUGUUUUUGACUUGGGAGCUACUAUUAAAAUUACCAGGCUAAAACUACGUUGAAAAUGUAAAAAUAUAAUUACUCUAUAUAAACUUAAAAUACUUCAUAUAUACCAGUAUCAUAUUGGGGUACUUUGAUUCAAUGUGUGUAACUGUGUGGCACUUUUUUUUAAAAUUCUUACAGUAUAUGGUACAGGAUAAUAUUUAUUAUUAUUUGUAUAAUUUAUAUAUCUAUGUUUUAAUUAUUUUUAUUUACUUAUGAUCCCCUGCUCCUACCUCCCUCUACUGGCUGCCUAUGCAAUUUUCAAUUAAAUUUUAGAAAGUAAAUGUUUGUGAGGCCUCCCUUCCCUCCUGCCUGGUUCCCUGUGUUAAUCAGUGUAACCACCCUCACCUGUGGGGCCCUGAGUUUAUAAACCUCUCUCCCUCUCUCACUCAGUCUUUGUUGGAUCAGUGUUCACGGUGUGAUGUGGGUGCCUGUGCUGCAGUCCUGGGCCUGCUUGUUGUUUGUUCCUGCCCUGGUAUCCAGUGAGUUUAUUUUAAAUGCAUUUAAGUUUGAAGAAAUAUUAAUACACCUUCUGUUACUGAUAGUUGUCACUUGUUUGCUCUCUGCUUCCUGGCUGCAGUGUUAUGUGACUGUGUUAACUGUUAUAUUUGUGGAUAUUCUCAGUCAUCCAGGUCAUCAAAAAUAAUCUCAACAGCAAUUUAAAAUAGGCAACUUGAGCCUGAUGCUUCAGUGUCUGACCACCCAUCACUUCUUUUCAUCGCUAGAGGUGGGCUGAUUUAAAAACCACCUGAAGGCACAAGACAUACUACAAUUUUGUCAAAAUGACACAUUUCCACGAACACAGUGAAGUUUUAAUGACAAUGUGUGACUCUGUUAUCAGUACAGUUGAAAAGCAUGGCUUCAUAGUCAACUUAAUGGUCUGUGUUGUUUGUUUGUUCUUUUCAUAAUGAAAGUUCUAGGUCUGUUACCAAUUUGUUUAUGUUCAUUAAUAAAAGUUGAUACUUAAA